GCAUGGUGCAGUUGUUAGCACUGUUGCCUUGCAGAAAGAAUGUCCUGGGUUCAAAUCCCAGAGCUGCA